rnacentral:rRNA from 1 species
CAGUCGCCGCGGUAAUACGAAGGGUGCAAGCGUUAAUCGGAAUUACUGGGCGUAAAGCGUGCGUAGGCGGUUUCUUAAGUCUGCUGUGAAAUCCCCGGGCUCAACCUGGGAAUGGCAGUGGAUACUGGGAAGCUAGAGUGUGUCAGAGGAUGGUGGAAUUCCCGGUGUAGCGGUGAAAUGCGUAGAGAUCGGGAGGAACAUCAGUGGCGAAGGCGGCCAUCUGGGACAACACUGACGCUGAGGCACGAAAGCGUGGGGAGCAAACAGGAUUAGAUACCCCAGUAGUCCCUGUCUCUUAUAC